AAAACCAUUGCAUUUCAUGCAUCAUUUGCAUAACAAAUUUUCUUUCGCCAGAUGUCUUAUUGGUUAUUCUUCUGUGCUUCAGCCAAGUCGACUCACCGAUACAACACUCGUGCCAAUCAACCCAGAACUAUGGAACAUUUUGAACAAAAGACCAGAGAGCUGAAGGAUGAUAUUACCCGAUUGACUUCCAUGAUGGAGUCUGUUCUUGCUGCGCAAAAUCAGUC
rnacentral:lncRNA from 1 species